GGGGUGCGAUAGACUAACCUCCACGUGGUGCACCCUGGGCAACGUAUACUCAUACGGCAAAAACGGUCGA
rnacentral:ribozyme from 1 species